CUCGGGGCACAGCUCAACUGGUGGAUCAAUCAACAUUGUCUUGCUUCCAGCGACAGGGUGGAGAGUUCGAUUCCUGGUGGGAACCUGCGGCCAAAAAUUUGGUAUGGAGCAAUCACUGUGGAGGACGGUCUCUUGUGCGCAGAAGUGUACAGGCAAUGAGGGGAACCUGUGAUCCAGUUGAGGCAUAAUCCGCGAUUUACCCCCUCCAAGGUUCUAGGGGCAAGGG
rnacentral:lncRNA from 1 species